GACGUAGGUGGCAAACGUUAUCCGGAAUUAUUGGGCGUAAAGGGUGCGUAGGUGGUUCAAUAAGUUACUGGUGGCAAAUCGGGGCCCAACCCCGUGGAAGUCAGUAAUACUAUUAAACUAGAGGAUCGGAGAGGUUAAUGGAAUUCUAUGUGUAGCGGUAAAAUGCUCAAAUAUAUAGAGGAACACCAAACGGCGAAGGCAGUUAACUAUUCGGUUCCUGACAUUGAGGCACGAAAGCGUGGGGAGCAAACAGG
rnacentral:rRNA from 1 species